rnacentral:tRNA from 1 species
GCUAAUUAAGUGUUUAAUACAAUCGCACAUUGACUUUUCACGUCAAAAGAGCACUAAGUGCAUUUAGCU